rnacentral:tRNA from 2 species
GGUGAGAUGGCCGAGUGGCUGAAGGCGCACCCCUGCUAAGGGUGUAUACCUCCUGGGUAUCGAGGGUUCGAAUCCCUCUCUCACCG